AGAGAGAAACGGGAAACCCUGACCUACUUGUAGCCUGGAUACCUGAAAGAAUAACUCGAGUUAACAAAAUGCUUUAUGCCAUCCCUUUAUUUGACGGUCACACCUGGUAAAGUCUGCCUGAUACCGGGUCUGCUCUGCCCAAGGAAGUAGGAACUGUGAAAUAGGAGCUCCUGAGGCUUGUUCAACACCACCCAAACUUCCAUCUCUUUGGUCCAUUUACUGUCUGCUCAUCUUUAAGCAAGGAAACACCGCACACUCAAGUGACGACCUCCAGGUUAGGCAGUCUUCGUCCCUCUGCUCCACACCCACCCUUUCAUAUGCUUAGUCACUCAGUCGUGUCCAGCUCUUUGUGAUCCCAUGAACUGUAGCCCACCAGGCUUCUCUGUCCAUGGGAUUCCCCAAGCGAAAAUACUGGAGUGGGUUGCCUCCAGAUCCCCCCAGGGGAUCUUCCCACCCGGGAAUCAAACCCAGGUCUCCCGCAUUGCAAGCAGAUUCUUUCCCGUCUGAGCCACCAGGGAAGCCCAUGAGUACUGGAGUGAGUAGCCUAUCCCUUCUCCAGGGGAUCUUCCCGACCCAGGAAUUGAACUGGGGUCUCUUCCACUGCAGACGGAUUCUUUACCAGCUCUACAUUAGGUUCUGAGAAUUGUGGGGAUGAGAGGAAGCCUGCAAAACCAGAGGAGGAGAAGGGACUGACUCCUUCCCACGUGCUCCCUACUGGCUUCGGUCCCAGAUCAGGCCUGGAGGGGCUGGAACUGAGCCUGACCAGACAAGUCUCUGAAAGGACACAGCUAUCUACAACAGAGAGACAGCAUCCCUGAUGCCCCAGGGG
ensembl:lncRNA